AAGCUCGUUAUUGGAUUUCUGCUGGAAGCAGCCAGUCCGCCCUCAGGGGUGUGCACUUGGUGAAUUCUAGCAUCCUUCUGGAUUUCUCCACACUUCAUUGUGUGGAGUUUUUUCCAGGACUUUUACUUUGAGAAAAUUAGAGUGUUUCAAGCAGGCUUGUCGCCUUGAAUACUGCAGCAUGGAAUAAUAAGAUAGGAUUUCGGCCCUAUUUUGUUGGUUUCUAGGACUGAAGUAAUGAUUAAUAGGGACGGUUGGGGGCAUUCGUAUUUAACUGUCAGAGGUGAAAUUCUUAGAUUUGUUAAAGACGAACUACUGCGAAAGCAUUUGCCAAAGAUGUUUUCAUUAAUCAAGAACGAAAGUUAGGGGCUCGAAGACGAUCAGAUACCGUCGUAGUCUUAACCAUAAACUAUGCCGACUAGAGAUAGGAAAACGUCAUGCUUGACUUCUCCUGCAC
rnacentral:rRNA from 1 species